GCUAGGGGCAGAGACCCCGCAAGGGGUCGGCUUUGGCCACAAUUGGCCAUGGCAUUCGCCACUCUCUUCAUUUCUACUACUGUGGUUUCCGUUACUGCUGACGGUUACCCUUACUACUCUCCACCACCACCUUAUGAGUACAAUUCACCUCCUCCACCAACUGCUUCACCGCCACCUCCUUAUGAGUACAAGUCACCACCUCCUCCACCAAUUGAGCACAAACCACCACCUUAUGAGUAUAAAUCACCACCUCCACCACCACAUGAGCACAAGGCUCCUCCGUACGAGUAUAAGUCACCCCCUCCGCCAUCACCAUCACCUCCACCACCUUAUGAGUAUAAAUCACCACCUCCACCACCACAUGAGCACAAGGCUCCUCCGUACGAGUAUAAGUCACCCCCUCCGCCAUCACCAUCACCUCCACCACCUUAUGAGUAUAAAUCACCACCUCCACCACCACAUGAGCACAAGGCUCCUCCGUACGAGUAUAAGUCACCCCCUCCGCCAUCACCAUCACCACCACCUCCUUAUGAGUAUAAAUCACCACCUCCCCCACCACAUGAGCACAAGGCUCCUCCGUACGAGUAUAUUUCACCACCCCCACCAUCACCAUCACCACCACCUCCUUAUGAGUAUAAAUCACCACCUCCACCACCACAUGAGCACAAGGCUCCUCCUUAUGAGUACAAGUCACCACCACCUCCAUACGUAUACAAGUCACCACCUCCACCACCAUAUGAACACAAGGUUCCUCCCUACGAGUACAAGUCACCACCUCCACCAUCACCAUCACCACCACCUCCUUACAUAUACAAAUCACCACCUCCACCACCACCAUAUGAGCAUAAGUCUCCUCCUUAUGUGUACAAGUCCCCUCCCCCACCACCAUAUGAGCACAAGUCUCCACCUUACGUAUAUAAGUCACCCCCUCCUCCUUCACCGUCACCACCACCCCCAUAUGUAUAUAAGUCACCACCACCUCCACCACCAUACGAGCAUAAGUCUCCUCCUUAUGUGUACAAGUCACCUCCUCCUCCACCACCAUAUGAACACAAAUCUCCACCCUACUAUUACAGCUCUCCUCCUCCACCUCCUUACUACUAUAAAUCUCCCCCACCACCUUCACCAUCUCCUCCACCACCUUAUUAUUAUGAGUCUCCACCACCACCAGUAAAGUCUCCAUCUCCAAAGCCUUACUAUUAUAAAUCUCCUCCACCACCAUCUCCUGUACCCCAUCCACCUUACUACUACAACUCUCCUCCUCCACCAUCUCCUUCACCUCCUCCACCUUACUAUUAUAAUUCUCCACCACCUCCUUCACCGUCUCCUCCACCACCGUACUACUAUAAAUCUCCUCCUCCUCCAUCUCCUAAACCGCACCCCCCUUACUACUAUAACUCUCCACCACCUCCAGUAAAAUCUCCACCUCAUCCAACACCUUACUACUACAAAUCUCCACCACCACCCACUCCAUACUAUUAUAAUUCUCCUCCUCCACCUGUCGUGUAUCCUCCACAUCCCCACCAUCACCCAUUGAUUGUGAAGGUUGUGGGCAAAGUCUACAGCUAUAAGUGCUAUGACUGGGAGUAUCCUGAAAAGUCACACAACAAGAAGCAUCUCAAAGGUACACGACAUUCUCUACGUCAUUUUUUAGUUCGAAAGUCUUAUUAUUGUUACAAUUGAAUUGUCAAUUCUUAUGCUUUUGAGCAUUGCUCGUUAUUAUCUUCAUUUGGCAUUCACUUUUUUUCGUUAGAGAAUGCACGUCUUUGUCUAGUAGAACUUGUGCUUCAUUUUACACAAGCAUUUGCUAUUAGUACUCACAGUAUUUUGUCGCUAAACUUUUCGUGAUGCUUGCAGUUCCAAUCAUAUUAGAUAACUCUAGAGCAUGUAGAAAUUAAAUGUUAGAAUGCAUUAACUUAAUUUAUCUUGAACCGACCACCUAAUCGGAAAACCAAAAUGAAUGCAUUAAUAUUUGAUGCUUAAAUUAGUAAAGUGUCAAUUAGACUUUUUAAUAAUGUAUAGAAUUGGAGAACCUUUUGUUACAGUUGAUAGGUAAGAUACAAUCAAUGUCUCAAUGUACAUUCACCAUCACAUUACUAAAAAAGAACCUUUUCUUAUUCAAAACUGGUUGUAGCAUGUAAUUAACACCAACACUCAACAUGAAAAUGAUAGUUUUCUUUUUCUUCAUAAAUAAACAUGAAAAGGAUAGUUUAACUCGAGAUUCUUUUUAUAAUUUGCUCCAAUAUAAUAUCUUUGGUGGAUUUAUGAUAUCUUGUCGUAUUAUUGUUUGCUAAUUGUAAUAUUUCAAUUAUGGAUCAGGUGCUGUUGUGGAGGUCAAAUGCAAAGCAGGCAGACACAUCAUCAAGGCUUACGGGGAAACUAAGAGCAAUGGAAAGUAUAGCAUUACAGUUAAGGACUUUGACUAUGCUAAAUAUGGCUCCAGGGUAUGCAAGGCUAGGUUACAUGCUCCACCUAAGAACUCACCCUUCAACAUACCCACUAAGCUAAACGAAGGAACCGACUUGAAGGUGAAAUCAAAGGACAAAUAUGAAGUUGUGCUUGAAGCUAAGCCAUUUGCCUAUGCUUCAAAGAAACAUUUUGAAGAAUGUGAAAAAUCCAAGCCUUCACCAACUCCCUACUAUUAUAAAUCACCACCACCUCCAUCACCGGUUUACAUAUACAAGUCUCCACCUCCACCAUCACCUACAUAUGUAUACAAGUCACCACCUCCACCAGUUCACCACUAUUCUCCUCCGUACUAUUACCAAUCCCCACCACCACCUUCACCAAAACCCAAUCCUCCAUAUUACUACCAAUCCCCACCUCCACCUUCACCAAAACCCAAGCCUCCGUACUACUACCAAUCUCCACCUCCACCAACACCAGUAGUAAAGCCACCUUACUACUACCAAUCUCCACCUCCACCAUCACCGGUACCCAAACCUCCAUACUACUACCAAUCACCACCUCCACCAUCACCAAAACCCAAGCCUCCAUACUACUACCAAUCCCCACCUCCACCAACACCAGUAGUAAAGCCACCUUACUACUACCAAUCUCCACCUCCACCAUCACCGGUACCCAAACCUCCAUACUACUACCAAUCACCACCUCCACCAUCACCAAAACCCAAGCCUCCAUACUACUACCAAUCCCCACCUCCUCCAUCACCAGUACCUAAGCCUCCAUACUACUACCAAUCUCCACCACCCCCAUCACCAGUACCCAAGCCUCCAUACUAUUACCAAUCUCCACCUCCACCUUCACCGAAACCCAAGCCUCCGUACUAUUACCAAUCCCCACCACCACCUUCACCAAAACCAAAGCCUCCGUACUAUUACCAAUCCCCACCUCCACCAUCGCCAGUACCCAAGCCUCCGUACUACUACCAAUCUCCGCCUCCACCAUCACCGGUACCUAAACCUCCAUACUACUACCAAUCUCCACCUCCACCAUCACCAGUAACAAAGCCUCCGUACUAUUACCAAUCUCCGCCUCCACCAUCACCGGUACCUAAACCUCCAUACUACUAUCAAUCUCCACCUCCACCUUCACCAAAACCCAAGCCUCCGUACUAUUACCAAUCCCCACCUCCACCUUCACCUAAACCCAAGCCUCCUUACUACUACCAAUCCCCACCUCCUCCGUCACCGGUGCCUAAACCUCCAUACUAUUACCAAUCUCCACCUCCACCAUCACCAUCACCCCCACCACCUUAUUAUUACCAUUCUCCUCCUCCACCAUCACCAUCUCCCCCUCCUCCUUACUACUAUAAGAGUCCUCCCCCACCAUCUCCAUCACCUCCUCCUCCAUACUAUUAUAAAUCUCCACCACCACCUAAAGAAUUGCCACACCCUCCUUACUAUUAUAAGUCACCACCCCCACCAUCACCAUCACCUCCUCAUCCAUACUAUUACAAAUCUCCUCCACCACCGUCACCAUCUCCUCCCCCACCUUAUUAUUACAAAUCUCCUCCUCCACCUAAAGAAUUACCACACCCUCCAUACUACUAUAAGUCACCACCUCCACCAUCGCCAUCCCCUCCCCCUCCCUACUACUAUAAAUCUCCACCACCACCAUCACCAUCACCACCUCCCCCCUACUAUUAUCAAUCGCCGCCUCCACCUAAAAAGCUACCACAUCCACACCCUCCUUACUACUACCAAUCUCCACCACCACCAUCACCAUCUCCACCACCUCCCUACAAUUACAAGUCACCUCCACCGCCAUCCCCAUCCCCUCCACCCACUUACUAUUACCAAUCUCCCCCACCUCCUUAUCACUAUCAAAGUCCUCCUCCACCAUCUCCCACUCCUCAUCCUCCCUAUUACUACCAAUCCCCUCCACCCCCAACGUCAUCUCCACCACCACCUUACCACUACGUGAGCCCUCCUCCACCUUCACCAUCUCCUCCCCCACCAUACCACUACACAUCACCACCUCCUCCAUCGCCAGCUCCUGCUCCCACAUACGUCUACAAAUCCCCUCCACCCCCAACAUCAUCUCCACCACCUUCAUAUCACUACGUGAGCCCCCCUCCACCUUCACCGUCUCCACCACCACCUUACCAUUACGUGAGCCCACCUCCACCUUCACCAUCUCCUCCACCACCAUACCACUAUACAUCACCACCUCCUCCCUCGCCAGCACCUGCUCCCAAAUACAUCUACAAAUCACCUCCCCCACCACCAGUUUACAUCUACGCUUCCCCACCACCACCGAUAUACAAGUAAGCUCAGAAUGUAGACGCAACAAUUGUAAUAAAUCACGU
rnacentral:lncRNA from 1 species